CCAAUAGCGUAUAUUAAAGUUGUUGUGGUUAAAAAGCUCGUAGUUGAACCUUGGGCCUGGCUGGCCGGUCCGCCUCACCGCGUGUACUGGUCCGGCCGGGCCUUUCCCUCUGUGGAACCUCAUGCCCUUCACUGGGUGUGACGGGGAAGCAGGACUUUUACUGUGAAAAAAUUAGAGUGCUCCAAGCAGGCCUAUGCUCGAAUACAUUAGCAUGGAAUAAUAAAAUAGGACGUGCGGUUCUAUUUUGUUGGUUUCUAGGACCGCCGUAAUGAUUAAUAGGGACAGUCGGGGGCAUCAGUAUUCAAUUGUCAGAGGUGAAAUUCUUGGAUUUAUUGAAGACUAACUACUGCGAAAGCAUUUGCCAAGGAUGUUUUCAUUAAUCAGGAACGAAAGUUAGGGGAUCGAAGACGAUCAGAUACCGCCCUAGUUCACUCUGUAAACGAUGCCAACCAGCGAUCGGCUCCUGUUCUUUCUUAGACGGGGCCGGCAGCUUCUG
rnacentral:misc_RNA from 1 species